UUCUUCAACUCCAGACCUUAAAACACCUCAUAAACUCUCUUAAGCUAUUCUCUAUGGAGCAAGAUCAAUUCUAAGAGCUAAGCAAGCUAAUCUAACGCAAGAAAGUCCGGGGUAAUCAUAGAAUCAUCGUUUCUACAUCGUUUCGCUUUUCUGAAGGAUCCUUCAUCUCGAAAUAAAUUUGAUGCUGGAUUAAUUCCUAUAAAUUAAGUUGUAAAGGAUAUGAGGGAUCAUGGGACGGGAUUCGCUUCAACAACGAGAUGCAGGUAUAUAGGUCGGUGCGCCUCCCUAGUAGGGUACCCGAGUUCAGCAGUUGGUUGUCGCACUCUACUUCUCCGGAGUUAUUGGUCAUAGUCAUCGGGUAGGAUACAUGCAUGUAUGUGUAUAUAUAUAUAUAUAUAUAUAGACACACACACAUACAUACAUACAUAUAUUUUAUGGUUAUAGGGGGCCCUAUUCUGACCAGUUGAUGCAUCUUAGUACUCCUAGAGGCUUAUAGACUAUCAGUCAGUGCAUAUGUGUUUUGUCGGCCUUCUGGAUAGUUGUCUUUCUUGGUUAUGGCCUUGUCGGCCUUAGAUAUGCAUAUAUGUAUUGUUAGGCCUUUCUGCCUACAAUUUGUUAUGUUUUAUUCUCAUUAUUAUCAUUUACCGACUUUCUCGGCCCACGGUUCAUGUUAUAGAGUUCAAAUAUCACAGUUGGUUCGCUCGGGCCUUCGGGUGCUGGCUGCCGGCCACACCCCCUAAGGUUGGGGUGUGACAAUUGCUCACGUAGUUAGCAGCUGCAUCGUAAGUUUUAAGUCAUUUUCAUGAGGCACGAGUAUCUAAUACAAUAGAAUGAUCCUAAAGAGAAUUUCAAACUUUACAACAUGAUCUAGAAUAAAGGAGAGUAAGAAACACCUAUAAUGUCUUGGUAGUCAUACAUCCAUACAAGUGGCUAGUUUUCAUGAAGAAAGCUCCACUAGACACAGCUCCGCACAAAAUUCUAGGACACUUAUAAACCUAGAGCUCUGAUACCAAGCUAGUCACGCCCCGAAACCAACCCUGGCACAACAAGCAUCCGAUGCUAUUAACAACAUCGGAAGUACCUUAUAAAAUCAAUAAACAUCUAAUCUCUUUCGAUAAUCUUUCACCUUUUAUUUAAAAUAGUCAUUUCAGGCUAACCGAAAUCAUACUCAUACUUAUAAAAAUAUGCAAAAGUUUUAUAGGAAUAAGAUGCCAUAAAACAUGGCAAAUACCCCCAACAAGUCAUACGAGACUUCAACAAUCUACUCACAAUUCUGACAACUAUCUAUGGAGCUUCUAAGAUAAAUAAAUGUAUGGAUUAACGUUGGGACGCAACUCGAAAACUAAAAGCAACAAACUAUGAUAGAGAGGUGUCCCAUGAAUAAGGAUGCGGGCUCACCAAUAAGUCUGAAAAGCAGCAAGUUCUCCUACUCCGUACACAUAUCACGAACCUGCUCUUCUUCAUUAUCUAACAUACCAUAAAAAACAACAAUUGUAUGCCUGAGUAUUGGGUACUCAGUGAGUGUCUCAGGGGAAAUAGUUAGUAAUCCAAAAUAAGAUAGCUACAGUAAAACUUGUGAAUCAAUAGUAGUAAAACAGUUUGAAAGUAAGAGAUAGAGAAAACUUCAUCAACCUUAGUAUAACGCAUAAGAAAUAUACCAAUUUCAAUCCGUCAAACCUUUUACCACAUUAAGUAUUUUAUUUCGGAAGACACGAGUAUCACAAGCCACUCACAAGCAACCAAAAGAUUAACACACGCCGACUCAGGGGCGAAUAAUCAUUCGAUACACCGAGGCUGGUAUCCCACGAAGUCUAAUCGCCUUCUGGACUAGCACAACAAUAGAUACGCCAAGCUACACGCCUCAGAGGUCAAUCUUCCUCUGGACUAACACAAUAAUAGAUACACUAGGUUAUACGCCAGAGAGGUUAAUCAUCCUCUAGAAUGACACAAUAAUGCUCAUA